CUCAACGUUAGCUGGAGCACGCCGGCCACGUCCUCCAAGCGGAAGAACGGACGGCGACAUGUCGUCCCUGCGCUCAUCCUCUGUAAGGAGUUUCCUGAUGAAGUUCAGCCAAGUACUUCCAUGAGAAACACGAAGUUGAUCAAGUUCUAAAGAAAUCGCAAGCUGAGAGUUCGAUUUAUUCAAGGUGAUAAACAGAGAAAUCCAGGAAAGUGUGAAUUUACCUGAAAAUGACAGGUGAAGCAGCGUCUGGUCCAGGUUCUGGUGAAAAUUGAUCAAGUUCUAAACAAAUCUCAGUGUGAGAGUUUGAUUUAGUCAAGGUGGGAAACACAGAAAUCUAGGAUACUGACAAUUUACUUAUGAAUGAGAAGCAAAGCAACUCCCGUUC